rnacentral:rRNA from 1 species
UACGUAGGGCGCGAGCGUCGUCCGGAUUUAUUGGGUUUAAAGGGUGCGUAGGCGGUUUGAUAAGUCUGGGGUGAAAGCCCGUUGCUCAACAACGGAACUGCCCUGGAUACUGUCAGACUUGAGGACAGACGAGGUUGGCGGAAUAGAUGGUGUAGCGGUGAAAUGCAUAGAUACCAUCUAGAACUCCGAUUGCGAAGGCAGCUGACUAGACUGUAACUGACGCUGAGGCACGAAAGCGUGGGGAGCGAACAGG